rnacentral:rRNA from 1 species
AUUGAACGCUGGCGGCAGGCCUAACACAUGCAAGUCGAGCGGAUGAAGGGAGCUUGCUCCUGGAUUCAGCGGCGGACGGGUGAGUAAUGCCUAGGAAUCUGCCUGGUAUUGGGGGAUAACGUCCGGAAACGGGCGCUAAUACCGCAUACGUCCUGAGGGAGAAAGUGGGGGAUCUUCGGACCUCACGCUAUCAGAUGAGCCUAGGUCGGAUUAGCUAGUUGGUGGGGUAAAGGCCUACCAAGGCGACGAUCCGUAACUGGUCUGAGAGGAUGGUCAGUCACACUGGAAGUGAGACAGGGUCCAGACGCCUACGGGAGGGAGCAGUGGGGAAUAGUAGACAAUGGGCGAAAGCCUGAUACAGCGAUGCCGAGUGUGUGAAGAAGGUCUUCGGAGUGUAAAGCACUUUAAGUUGGGAGGAAGGGCAGUAAGUUAAUACCUUGCUGUUUUGACGGUACCAAGAGAAUAAGCACCGGCUAACUUCGUG